UCUCCAGAACAGGAUAUGUCUAGUCAAACCCAUCUGGUCCUGGAGCCACACACCCCUGGCCCAGGGCUCCGCAGCGGGGAGUCGUUCCCGGCCAUUGACAAACCCCAGUCCAGGCCUGCUUCGCCUGGCAAGGACUGGGUAGGCUGUGCCAGCCAUGGGCGCUGGCCCGGCCCCAUCCUGGGUGCCGCAACUCCAGUUCGUGCUGGGAGGACAGAGGACCUGUGGAAGCUAGGGAGCUGGGGGCGGGGGUCCGCGGGGGUGCUCCUCUCAGAUCUGAGAAGGUCCUGGACCAGGUGGCGGUGGCACAACCAGGUGCCGGAAGGCGGAGGCGGGCAGCUGGCGACGCACCACCAACAGGGAGUCCAGGCUGAGUAGGCUGCCUGUCACCAGCCUCCAGCCACCCGUCCUGCUGCCUUUGGAGUUCAAGAUCCUAGCCAAGGCCUGUAACACAUCUGUCCAAGAGUCCGGACAUGGUGCUGCUGGUUGGCCAUCCCGUUUGCGUGCCAUAGCUGCAACCGCUGUACAAUCUCAACCCUGCAACAUUAAUGCCUGAUGAUAACCCUGAGGUGGCCCUCCAUGACUGCGGGGACUUGCUGGACAUAUCUCAGGCCAGCUGGCCAGAUCUCCAGGACACUCCCGUGCUUAAGGCCUAUUGACUGCUGAGAAAAAAAGUCCAGACUGCAGUCCGUUCUAGGGUUCCAGAUGCCCUUCCGGUUCCCUCCUCACUGCCUUGUCACUCAUUCUGACCCAGAGACCCAGGUACAUCAAGAAGUUUCAGAAGAAAGGACUGAUACCUGCCUGGAAGGGACCUCCCACUGUUACCCUGACCACACCAGCUGCUGCAAUCAAGGUUGACCAGAUGUCUGCCUGGGUUCACCACGCCCUUGCCAAGCCUGUUCCAAACCAGGACCAGAAAUGGACCAUCUUAUCUGAUCCACCCAGGCUAAGACUCUCUCACAACAGGACUCCUGUUUGAUUACGCGUCCCCCUUUCUGUGUCUUGUAAUACUAGUCUCAUGGUUACAAAUAACUCAAACUUAUUUCGCUUCCACGGGAACUUGGCUUGAGUGUACCAUCGGUCUCAUCCACUGUAUGACCUCAGAACAUCUGUGUAACAAUCCAGUUUUAUGCAUGACUGUCCACCUACUGCCCCCAAGUGUAUGCUUGAUAAGGACCAGAGAGGACCUACCCCUUAUUCCCCUUUGUGCUGCCUCACCAGCUCUACGGGAGAGCUGCCCUACUCCUCAUUCCAAUGAAGUAAAUUGCCUUUUAAAGUUCAUCAGAUAAAGAAUUGCCUCUAUUUGGCUAAUGAUU